ACUGUCUCUCUCUUUCACGAGCAACAUUCUUGUACGGCAAGGAAGGUGAGUAUUUCACCGCCGUUUCUCUCUCUCUCUCUGUCUGUGGCUCUCUCUCACACUCUUCCUAUUUGUUUUGCCGUGAUUUCUUCUAUACAGGAAAUCAAGUGGCCUGUGUACAUUUGUGACUCCAAACUCUUUCUAGCUAGGCAACCUACUUCACUUGGGUUUCACUCUCUGCCUCUCUCUCACGCUGGCUCUAAGUGCAUUUAGACUCUUUGCGGGGAUGGCUCUGGCAAUCAACUACUUCCAGAAUCGGAUGUUGAUUGAGAAAUUGGAUCUCCUCCUUGAGCAAGAGCAACUGAUUGAAAAAUACAUUGAGGCAGUCAAUACACGCACCAAGAACUUGGAGGCACUAUUGGCAAAACCUGGAGCCAAAGAAGAGUAGCUGCUACCUGGACUCGCCUGAAGACAGUCUUCCCUUCCAUAAACAGGAGUUUAGGAUGAAACUUCUACGGUAGGUGAUAUUUUGAUGGUUUUUGUGAAUAAUACUUGAAAUUAUUAAAUUUACUAAUCAAGAUGAGAAUUUGUUGGGCACCAUGGGACUUGUGUUUUGGUGUCUGUUAUAUGUAUGCGAUGAUAUCUCAUAUCAGAGUAUUUCUUUUUAUAUGGUAA